rnacentral:rRNA from 1 species
GACGAACGCUGGCGGCGUGCCUAAUACAUGCAAGUCGAACGAGAGCGACCGGUGCUUGCACUGGUCAAUCUAGUGGCGAACGGGUGAGUAACACGUGGGUAACCUGCCCAUCAGAGGGGGAUAACAUCCGGAAACGGAUGCUAAAACCGCAUAGGUCUUCGAACCGCAUGGUUUGAAGAGGAAAAGAGGCGCAAGCUUCUGCUGAUGGAUGGACCCGCGGUGCAUUAGCUAGUUGGUGAGGUAACGGCUCACCAAGGCCGUGAUGCAUAGCCGACCUGAGAGGGUGAUCGGCCACAUUGGGACUGAGACACGGCCCAAACUCCUACGGGAGGCAGCAGUAGGGAAUCUUCCGCAAUGGACGCAAGUCUGACGGAGCAACGCCGCGUGAGUGAAGAAGGUUUUCGGAUCGUAAAACUCUGUUGUUAGAGAAGAACAAGUGCUAGAGUAACUGUUAGCGCCUUGACGGUAUCCAACCAGAAAGCCACGGCUAACUACAUG